AUCUCAAUGAAGAGGGUUUUGAAAUCAAGGAAACAUUUGAGGGAAUUCCAUAACUUUUUCCCCUUCAAGAAAUAUCACAGACAACCUUCCAUUCAAAGUCAACAAAAUCGAAACCCAAUUUUGAGAUUUGUUGGUGGCUCAUCCUAUAACUGGUGAAAAUGUUAGGAAAUCCAGAGACAUCGUCGGGGGCCCUGGGAAGACUCAUAUUUUAUUUUUAACAUCUUUCCCACCCUGAAAUCGGCUCAACUAGAGAUAGGGUCCAACACCUGGAAGAGCAUCACAUGUCUUGUGGUGUCUGGUCCGCCCUCGACGACAUUUGAAAAUCUGGAGAACCGAGUACUGUCCAUUCUCGGUCGUACUCAUAACCGCAUUAGGUCUCCAAGGUUAACAACAUCUGGU
rnacentral:ncRNA from 1 species